CCAGAUCCACUCUCCUCUCGCUCCCUCUGCCUUCGCUGCCCGCACGACCAUGGUCGUCCCCCCCACUGAAGCCCGCGGCCACCGACCGCCCCGUGCCGCACCGGCGAGUCAAGGAGCUCCUCCAUGUCCCGCUACAUCGUCUACGAGGCCGGAUCGGUCCAGAUCGUGCCUGCAUCGGUCGCCACCGCUACCCCGCCGUGGAUCCGGCCACCGCUAGCCGUUCCAAGACUUCCAGGAGGACCGCAGGGCUCGUCGCCGUCGCCUACAGCACCGGAUCGACGUCGCGGAACCCCUGCAGCGCCACCAUCGUCUUGUUCCCCUCCGCCUCGGCCGUCGUCGAUCCUCGGCGAACACCACCGCUCCGGUCCUUCCCGCGUCCACGCGAGCUCGCCGUCGUCUCCCCCGAUGUGAGCCUCCCCUUCGACCCCCUGUGUUGUUCCCUCUCGUUACAGUCACCGUAGCCGUUGCCGUAUCCUCCCAUGGCCGCGCCUGGAGCUCUGCUCCCGCGUGCGCCCAUGCGAGCCCCUUGUCGUCCCUGGCCUUGCCCGCGUGCUGCUACCGCCGCUGCGCUCGCCAAGCCCCCUGGCCGCGACCGGCCGGGCGCCGCCUGUUCCUUGGCCGCGCCCCGCUCGUGCACGCGCACCCGCGUGUUUGCCCCCGCUGCUCCCCGCUCGCGCGCGCCCGUAGCCUCUCCCCUGCCUUGCUACUGCUCGCCGUCGCGACUCCUUUGCUGCUUGCUGCUCCGCCCGCACCGCAUCGCAUCGCUGCACUCUGCUGCUGCUCUGCUACAGUAACAUUCAGUUACUGUAGCAGUGGCUAGCUUCGGUGCUACUACACCAUUUAGCUCCCUGGACAGUCCCUAAACAACAGAUAGUCAAGUGCUAAUAUAGGUAAAAAAUAAUUUUUGAAGGGAGUACACAUGACAAACUCCAUUUUAUCCCACGGGGUCAAAUCCUUUUGAUGAAUAAAUUAAAUCCUACAAAAAUCAUAAAAUGACAUCUUACGUUAAUAACUCCUAGCCUACUAACUUGUGUGUGCUGUGUGUGUGCGCCGUGCAUGUGGCCGGAGUAGUGGCCGGCCCUUGCUUAAAUUAGUACUACUAGGUAUUAAUUAGUGUAGAUUAGUCUAUGUGUAGAUGACAUGUGGGUCCUAUUCAAUUAGGUUAGUUUUUUGUACUCAUUUAGGUACAGCCUAUGACAUAAGGGCCACCCCCUCCUUUUUGACCAGUCAACUUUGACUUGGUCAGCCCGUUUUAAAACAUUUCCAAAAAUAUUAGAAUACGUCUAAAACAUUUGAAAAUUCUUAGAAAUUAAACCGUAAGUCAGAUGAAAAUGUUAUGUACACGAAAGUUGCUCAGAAUGAUGAGACGAAUCCGGAUACGCAGCCUGUUCGUCCGCCACGCAUACCUAACCUAUCGAACUCGCAACUUUCCCCAUCCGGCUCCUUUGCCCGAAAACGCGAAACACCGGGGAUACUUUCCCGGAUGUUUCCCCCCUUCGCCGGUAUCACCUAUCCCUACGUUAGGUCACCUCUAGCACAACGUAUUACCGCUUCUUGCUUUUUGUUACAUUUGAUUGCUCUGUUAUGUAUUGUGUUCCCCCUCCGUUACUUCUUUCCGGUAGACCCUGAGACCGAUGCCGGUACCUCUGUGAUUGACUACAUCGACGACCUCUCCUUCUUGCCAGAGCAACCAGGCAAGCCCCCCCUUUGAUCACCAGAUAUCGCCUAUUCUCCUCUAUACUGCUUGCAUUAGAGUAGUGUAGCAUGUUACUGCUUUCCGUUGAUCCUAUUCUGAUGCAUAGCCUGACAUUGUUGCUACAUCUAUUGAUACCUUACCUGCAAUCCUAAAUGCUUAGUAUAGGAUGCUAGUUUAUCAUCA
rnacentral:lncRNA from 1 species